CGGGGAGGUAGUGACGAAAAAUAACGAUACGGGACUCAUCCGAGGCCCCGUAAUCGGAAUGAGUACACUUUAAAUCCUUUAACAAGGACCAAUUGGAGGGCAAGUCUGGUGCCAGCAGCCGCGGUAAUUCCAGCUCCAAUAGCGUAUAUUAAAGUUGUUGCGGUUAAAAAGCUCGUAGUUGAAUCUGUGUGUCGCAGUGUCGGUUCACCGCUCGCGGUGUCCAACUGGCAUUAUGCGACACGUCCUACCGGUGGGGCUCGCGGCCGUACGCGGCCGCGUUCCCUGUGAUUACCCAUCGCGGUGCUCUUGAUUGAGUGUCGAGGUGGGCCGGUACGUUUACUUUGAACAAAUUAGAGUGCUCAAAGCAGGCUACACUCGCCUGAAUACUCUGUGCAUGGAAUAAUGGAAUAGGACCUCGGUUCUAUUUUGUUGGUUUUCGGAACCCCGAGGUAAUGAUUAAUAGGGACAGAUGGGGGCAUUCGUAUUGCGACGUUAGAGGUGAAAUUCUUGGAUCGUCGCAAGACGGACUAGAGCGAAAGCAUUUGCCAAAAAUGUUUUCAUUAAUCAAGAACGAAAGUUAGAGGUUCGAAGGCGAUCAGAUACCGCCCUAGUUCUAACCAUAAACGAUGCCAGCUAGCGAUCCGCGGAUGUUCCUCCGAUGACUCUGCGGGCAGCUUCCCGGGAAACCAAAGCUUUUGGGUUCCGGGGGAAGUAUGGUUGCAAAGCUGAAACUUAAAGGAAUUGACGGAAGGGCACCACCAGGAGUGGAGCCUGCGGCUUAAUUUGACUC
rnacentral:rRNA from 1 species